rnacentral:rRNA from 1 species
AUUGAACGCUGGCGGCAUGCUUUACACAUGCAAGUCGAACGGUAACAGGCCGCAAGGUGCUGACGAGUGGCGAACGGGUGAGUAAUGCAUCGGAACGUGCCCAGUCGUGGGGGAUAACGCAGCGAAAGCUGUGCUAAUACCGCAUACGAUCUAUGGAUGAAAGCGGGGGACCGUAAGGCCUCGCGCGAUUGGAGCGGGCGAUGUCAGAUUAGGUAGUUGGUGGGGUAAAGGCUCACCAAGCCGACGAUCUGUAGCUGGUCUGAGAGGACGACCAGCCACACUGGGACUGAGACACGGCCCAGACUCCUACGGGAGGCAGCAGUGGGGAAUUUUGGACAAUGGGCGCAAGCCUGAUCCAGCCAUGCCGCGUGCAGGAUGAAGGCCUUCGGGUUGUAAACUGCUUUUGUACGGAACGAAAAGGUUUGGCCUAAUACGCUGAACUCAUGACGGUACCGUAAGAAUAAGCACCGGCUAACUACGUGCCAGCCGCCGCCGUAACAC